UGGGGAAUAUUGGACAAUGGGGGCAACCCUGAUCCAGCAAUGCCGCGUGUGUGAAGAAGGUCUUUGGAUUGUAAAGCACUUUCGACGGGGACGAUGAUGACGGUACCCGUAGAAGAAGCCCCGGCUAACUUCGUGCCAGCAGCCGCGGUAAUACGAAGGGGGCUAGCGUUGCUCGGAAUGACUGGGCGUAAAGGGCGUGUAGGCGGUUUACACAGUCAGAUGUGAAAUCCCCGGGCUUAACCUGGGAGCUGCAUUUGAUACGUGUAGACUAGAGUGUGAGAGAGGGUUGUGGAAUUCCCAGUGUGGAGGUGAAAUUCGUAGAUAUUGGGAAGAACACCGGUGGCGAAGGCGGCAACCUGGCUCAUGACUGACGCUGAGGCGCGAAAGCGUGGGGAGCAAACAGGAUUAGAUACCCUGGUAGUCCACGCUGUAAACGAUGUGUGCUAGAUGUUGGGUAACUUUGUUAUUCAGUGUCGCAGUUAACGCGUUAAGCACACCGCCUGGGGAGUACGGCCGCAAGGUUGAAACUCUAAAGU
rnacentral:rRNA from 1 species